rnacentral:rRNA from 1 species
ACNUGCAGUCGAGCGGACAGAUGGGAGCUUGCUCCCUGAUGUUAGCGGCGGACGGGUGAGUAACACGUGGNUAACCUGCCUGUAAGACUGGGAUAACUCCGGGAAACCGGGGCUAAUACCGGAUGCUUGUUUGAACCGCAUGGUUCAAACAUAAAAGGUGGCUUCGGCUACCACUUACAGAUGGACCCGCGGCGCAUUAGCUAGUUGGUGAGGUAACGGCUCACCAAGGCAACGAUGCGUAGCCGACCUGAGAGGGUGAACGNCCANACUGGGACUGAGACACGNNCNAGACUNNUACGGGAGGCAGCAGUAGGGAAUCUUCCGCAAUGGACGAAAGUCUGACGGAGCAACGCCGCGUGAGUGAUGAAGGUUUUCGGAUCGUAAAGCUCUGUUGUUAGGGAAGAACAAGUACCGUUCGAAUAGGGCGGUACCUUGACGGUACCUAACCAGAAAGCCACGGCUAACUACGUGCCAGCAGCCGCGGUAAUACGUAGGUGGCAAGCGUUGUCCGGAAUUAUUGGGCGUAAAGGGCUCGCAGGCGGUUCCUUAAGUCUGAUGUGAAAGCCCCCGGCUCAACCGGGGAGGGUCAUUGGAAACUGGGGAACUUGAGUGCAGAAGAGGAGAGUGGAAUUCCACGUGUAGCGGUGAAAUGCGUAGAGAUGUGGAGGAACACCAGUGGCGAAGGCGACUCUCUGGUCUGUAACUGACGCUGAGGAGCGAAAGCGUGGGNAGCGAACAGGAUUAGAUACCCUGGUAGUCCACGCCGUAAACGAUGAGUGCUAAGUGUUAGGGGGUUUCCGCCCCUUAGUGCUGCAGCUAACGCAUUAAGCACUCCGCCUGGGGANUACGGUCGCAAGACUGANACUCAAAGGAAUUGACGGGGGGCCCGCACAAGCGGNGGNAGCAUGUGGGUUUAAUUC